rnacentral:miRNA from 1 species
ACUUUUAUACCCGGUACUCAGACAGGUACCUGUACCAUAUUGUUUUUUUUCGAAUUUUACAUUUUUACAAAAAUUGUACAAAAUUUCGUGCUGGCGUGAGAAGUUAUGUAGAUGUAGAUGACAAACAGGUGUAGAAAAAAUGUAAAAUGUAAAAUUCGAAAAAAAAACAAUAUGGUACAGGUACACUGACUGAGUACCGGGUAUAAAAGU